rnacentral:rRNA from 1 species
GAUGAACGCUAGCGGCAGGCUUAAUACAUGCAAGUCGAGGGACAGCACAGGUAGCAAUACUGGGUGGUAACCGGCAAACGGGUGCGGAACACGUACACAACCUUCCUUUAAGUGGGGGAUAGCCCAGAGAAAUUUGGAUUAAUACCCCGUAAUAUAGUUGAAUGGCAUCAUUUGAUUAUUAUAGCUACGGCGCUUAAUGAUGGGUGUGCGGCUGAUUAGAUAGUUGGCGGGGUAACGGCCCACCAAGUCUACGAUCAGUAGCUGAUGUGAGAGCAUGAUCAGCCACACGGGCACUGAGACACGGGCCCGACUCCUACGGGAGGCAGCAGUAAGGAAUAUUGGUCAAUGGACGCAAGUCUGAACCAGCCAUGCCGCGUGAAGGAUUAAGGUCCUCUGGAUUGUAAACUUCUUUUAUUUGGGACGAAAAAGGGCCUUUCUAGGUCAACUGACGGUACCAGAUGAAUAAGCACCGGCUAACUCCGUGCCAGCAGCCGCAGUAAGAC